rnacentral:rRNA from 1 species
UACAGAGGGUGCGAGCGUUGUUCGGAAUUACUGGGCGUAAAGCGUGCGCAGGCGGUUAUGUAAGACAGAUGUGAAAUCCCCGGGCUCAACCUGGGAACUGCAUUUGUGACUGCAGAGCUAGAGGACGGUAGAGGGGGGUGGAAUUGCUGGUGUAGCGGUGAAAUGCGUAGAGAUCAGCAGGAACACCCGUGGCGAAGGCGGCCCCCUGGGCCGAACCUGACGCUGAGGCGCGAAGGCUAGGGGAGCGAACGGG